GCUCUUAUGGAUUAGUGGUAGAGUGUUAGUCUUGUAAACUAAAGGUUCCAUAGUUCAAUCCUAUGUGGGGGCA